rnacentral:misc_RNA from 1 species
AAGUGCUGCAGGCAACAAUACUAAAACUGCAAUAGGGGACAUAUACAGCAGCAAAUUCAUCGAGUUCAACUUUUCUCCCUCAGAAGAAAGCAGGAUGCCCUGAAGAACAGACUUAAAGGCCCUUGCAGCAGUUGCACUUAUGCACAUAAUAAAUCCAUACAAGUGAAAACCUGGCUCACCCCCACUAGCAAUGACAACACCAGCAACAACAGGCACAAGAGCAGCAUAUGUAACCCAAGCCUCCCUCUUGAAGGUCAUCAAGUAGGCAAAAACCGCAGUGAAAAACGGAGUCGUAGCACCGACAGCCUGAUUAAAGGAAACAGGCAAAUACCUGAGAGAAAUAUUGCCACCGACAACAGACCCACAAAAGACAACACUCAAAGUUGCAAUCUUGAAGAACUGAUGCCUAGAUUUGACAGGCUGAAGAGGAACCAUCUUGAAGAAAACAAU